rnacentral:rRNA from 1 species
AACGAACGCUGGCGGCAUGCCUAACACAUGCAAGUCGAACGAGACCUUCGGGUCUAGUGGCGCACGGGUGCGUAACGCGUGGGAACCUGCCCUUAGGUUCGGAAUAACUCCCCGAAAGGGGUGCUAAUACCGGAUAAUGUCUUCGGACCAAAGAUUUAUCGCCUUUGGAUGGGCCCGCGUUGGAUUAGCUAGUUGGUAGGGUAAAAGCCUACCAAGGCGACGAUCCAUAGCUGGUCUGAGAGGAUGAUCAGCCACACUGGGACUGAGACACGGCCCAGACUCGUGGGGGAGGCAGGGGUGGGGAAUAUUGGGCAAGGGGCAAAAUCCUGACCCGGCAAGGCCGGGAGGGUGAUGAAGGCCUUGGGGUUGUAAAGCUCUUUUCCCCGGGAGAAAAAUACCAUAACCGGGGAAAAAAGCCCCGGCUAACCCCGG